GCCUUCUUGGCUCAGUUGGCAGAGCGUCCGCCUAGUAAGCGGAAGGUCGGCGGUUCAAAUCCGCCAGAAGGCA